GACAUAGGUGGCGAACGUUAUCCGGAUUUAUUGGGCGUAAAGGAUGCGUAGAUGGUGGAAUAAGUUAUUGGUCAAGGUCGAGCUCAACUUGGCGGAAGCUGGUAAUACUAUUCUACUCGAGGACAGGAGAGGUUGGCGGAAUUCUGUGUGGAGCGGUGAAAUGCGUUGAUCUACAGAGGAACACCAAAAAAGGCGAAGGCAGCCAACUAUUCUGAUCCUGACAUUGAGGCAUGAAAGCGUGGGGAGCAAACCGG
rnacentral:rRNA from 1 species